GAUGAACGCUAGCUACAGGCUUAACACAUGCAAGUCGAGGGGCAGCGGUAUCGAAAGCUUGCUUUCGGUAGCCGGCGACCGGCGCACGGGUGAGUAACGCGUAUCGAACCUGCCUCAUACUCGGGAAUAGCCUUGCGAAAGUAAGAUUAAUGCCCGGUGUUUUCAGAGUCCCGCAUGAGGCUUUGAACAAAGAUUUAUCGGUAUGAGAUGGCGAUGCGUCCCAUUAGCUUGUUGGCGGGGUAACGGCCCACCAAGGCAUCGAUGGGUAGGGGUUCUGAGAGGAAGGUCCCCCACAUUGGAACUGAGACACGGUCCAAACUCCUACGGGAGGCAGCAGUGAGGAAUAUUGGUCAAUGGGCGGAAGCCUGAACCAGCCAAGUAGCGUGCAGGAAGACGGCCCUCCGGGUUGUAAACUGCUUUUAGUUGGGAAUAAAACGGGGAUCGUGAGCCCCCUUGCAUGUACCAUCAGAAAAAGGACCGGCUAAUUCCGUG
rnacentral:rRNA from 1 species